GCACACUUUUUAAUUUUUCUUCCUCCUCUUUUUUAUUUCUUUCUUUCUUUCUUUCUUUUCUUCUUAGGACUUAGGCACAGGGAUGUCUUGCUGUGUGUUCCAAGUGGCCUCAGGUGAGAGCUGCAUAGCUGAAAGUUCAUCUGGAAUGCAGAUCAUGUCAAGUUUGGACAGGCAUGAGCCUUAACUCACUGAGUGAGAAAGGGGAAUGGAAUCUGGUCCUGCAACAAGUGAGUUGAAAUGUGAUCCUGAGGGAGCAUACCUGCACAGUAGCCAACUACUUGAAACCUGCAAUAAACCCAUAGCUGAGUCUUCAUGGGAUUUAUAGCUCCCAGUCCCAGUGAAGGGUAUGGAUUUUUUCUGGUUUAUUCACUCAUUUUGUAGGUCACACUUUCUUGUCACACUAUCCAUGGAUUAGUAUCAAUCUGGAG
rnacentral:lncRNA from 1 species